GCUUAGGAAUGAAGCAGAGGUCACACUGUCUGUGACAAAGGGCGUACCAGCUUUUGGAACUGUUCACGUGGACAGACACCUGGAUAAAAGUAUAACCAACAAGGCCCCGCUGUGGGAUAGGACUGUUAUCCUCAGGCCUGUAACCAUCCAUCCGGACCUCAGUUCUCUGGAUCCUCUGCUUGGGAGGUCUCCUUCCCCCAAAAGGGACAUCGUGGCCCAGCUUGGCAGGGAGCUGGGAAGCCAAUGCUGACGAGAGGUGACCCCACCUUGAACUCUGCUGGCAAGGAAGUGCGGUCCAUAAGGAGAACAGGAGUCUGGGCUUCUUCACUCUCUUGGCCGACUUGUCAAAUCUCUGCAAAGAGCUGUCGAUGGCCGGCCACCGCUGGAGGGUCAAAUGUUUCCAUUAAAGUACAAAAGCA
rnacentral:lncRNA from 1 species